CUACGGGACGCAGCAGUGGGGAAUAUUGCACAAUGGGCGCAAGCCUGAUGCAGCCAUGCCGCGCGUAUGAAGAAGGCCUUCGGGUUGUAAAGUACUUUCAGCGGGGAGGAAGGGAGUAAAGUUAAUACCUUUGCUCAUUGACGUUACCCGCAGAAGAAGCACCGGCUAACUCCGUGCCAGCAGCCGCGGUAAUACGGAGGGUGCAAGCGUUAAUCGGAAUUACUGGGCGUAAAGCGCACGCAGGCGGUUCGUUAAGUCAGAUGUGAAAUCCCCGGGCUCAACCUGGGAACUGCAUCUGAUACUGGCAAGCUUGAGUCUCGUAGAGGGGGGUAGAAUUCCAGGUGUAGCGGUGAAAUGCGUAGAGAUCUGGAGGAAUACCGGUGGCGAAGGCGGCCCCCUGGACGAAGACUGACGCUCAGGUGCGAAAGCGUGGGGAGCAAACAGGAUUAGAUACCCGGGUAGUC
rnacentral:rRNA from 1 species